rnacentral:rRNA from 1 species
UACGUAGGCAGCGAGCGUUGUUCGGAAUUACUGGGCGUAAAGAGUGUGUAGGCGGUGCUCUAAGUUCGGUGUGAAAUCUCCUGGCUCAACUGGGAGGGUGCGCCGGAAACUGGAGUGCUUGAGCGUGGGAGAGGAAAGCGGAAUUCCUGGUGUAGCGGUGAAAUGCGCAGAUAUCAGGAGGAACACCGGUGGCGAAGGCGGGUCUCUGGGCCGAUGACUGACGCUGAGACACGAAAGCGUGGGUAGCAAACAGG